rnacentral:tRNA from 1 species
ACCCAGCUGGCUCAGUUGGUAGAGCAUACAACUCUUGAUCUGGGGGUUGUAGGUCAAGCCCUAUGUUGGGUG